rnacentral:tRNA from 1 species
AGUAAGGUCAGCUAAUUAAGCUCUUGGGCCCAUACCCCAAACAUGCAGGUUGAAACCCUGCCUUUGCUA